rnacentral:rRNA from 1 species
AACGAACGCUGGCGGCGGGCUUAACACAUGCAAGUCGAACGAAGUGGCGGACGGGUGAGUAACGCGUAAUAAACCUGCCCUUCAGAGGGGGACAACAGUUGGAAACGACUGCUAAUACCCAAUACUGAUGGAGGAGUUUGCGUCGGAUUGGCUAGUUGGAGGGGUAACGGCCCACCCAGGCGAUGGUCCGUAUGCGGUCUGAGAGGAUGAACGGCCACAUUGGGACUGAGACACGGCCCAGACUGCUACGGGGGGCAGCAGUGGGGAAUUUUCCGCAAUGGGCGGAAGUCUGACGGAGCCACGCCGCGGUAGUGAUGAAGGCCUUUGGGUUGUAAAGCUCUGUUAAUCGGGACGCGGUACCGGAAUAGAAAGCCACGGCUAACUACGUGCCAGCAGCCGCGGUAAUUC